rnacentral:rRNA from 1 species
GGUCAAGUUACUAAGAGCAUAGGGUGAAUGCCUUGGCACCAGGAGCCGAUGAAGGACGUGGUAAGCUGCGAUAAGCCUCGGGGAACCGCAAGCAGGUUUUGAUCCGGGGAUUUCCGAAUGGGGAAACCUACUUAAGUAAAGCUUAAGUAACCUAUACUGAAUCCAUAGGUAUUGGUAGGCACACCAGGGGAACUGAAACAUCUAAGUACCCUGAGGAAGAGAAAGAAAACUCGAUUCCCUAAGUAGCGGCGAGCGAAAAGGGAUUAGCCCAAACCAGAAGGUUUUCCUUCUGGGGUUGCGGAUAUGUUCAUCAAAGAAGUGGCUAUUGUAGUCGAAGCGGUCUGGAAAGGCCCACCAUAGGAGGUAAUAGUCCUGUAGGCAAAACAAGAAGACUUCUGAGCAUAAUCCAGAGUACCACGAGACACGUGAAACCUUGUGGGAAGCAGGGGGGACCACCCCCCAAGGCUAAAUACUACCUGGUGACCGAUAGCGUAUAGUACCGUGAGGGAAAGGUGAAAAGAACCCCGGGAGGGGAGUGAAAUAGAACCUGAAACCCUAUGUUUACAAGCAGUGAAAGUCCUUUAUAUGGACGAUCGCGUACUUUUUGUAGAACGGGCCAACGAGUUACGGUAUGCAGCAAGGUUAAGCUGUUAUGCAGCGGAGCCGCAGCGAAAGCGAGUCUUAAUAGGGCGAAUUAGUUGCAUGCCGUAGACCCGAAACCGGGUGACCUAUCCAUGGGCAGGAUGAAGCGGAAGUAAAAUUUCGUGGAGGUCCGAACUCAUUAGUGUUGAAAAACUACGGGAUGACCUGUGGAUAGCGGAGAAAUUCCAAUCGAACUCGGAGAUAGCUGGUUCUCCCCGAAAUAGCUUUAGGGCUAGCCUCAAAGAUUGUGAUACGGAGGUAGAGCACUGAAUGGCCUAGGGGCCCUCACCGGUUACCAAAGCCUAUCAAACUCCGAAUGCCGUAAUCAUUACUUUGGGAGUCAGACUACGUGAGAUAAGUUUCGUGGUCAAAAGGGAAACAGCCCAGACCGUCAGCUAAGGUCCCUAAGUACAGGUUAAGUGGAAAAGGAUGUGGGAUUGCACAGACAACUAGGAUGUUGGCUUAGAAGCAGCCAUUCAUUCAAAGAGUGCGUAAUAGCUCACUAGUCGAGUGAUCCUGCGCCGAAGAUUACCGGGGCUCAAACCUGUCACCGAAGCUACGGCAGUACGUAAGUACUGGGUAGGGGAGCAUUGUAUGCGGGCUGAAGUCAUACCGUAAGGAGUGGUGGACUGCAUACAAGAGAGAAUGUUGGCAUGAGUAGCGAGAGGUGGGUGAGAAUCCCACCCGUCGAAAGCCUAAGGUUUCCUGAGGUAGGUUCGUCCACUCAGGGUUAGUCGGGACCUAAGCCGAGGACGAAAGUCGUAGGCGAUGGACAACAGGUUGAAAUUCCUGUACCACCAAAGAUCGUUUGAGCAAUGGGGUGACACAGGAGGAUAGGUCAAGCGCACCGUUGGUUGUGUGCGUCUAAGCACUUAGGGAGUUAAGAUUGGCAAAUCCGUCUUAACAAUCCUGAGGUGUGAUGGGGAGCGAAAUUUAAGUAGCGAACUUACUGAUUCCACACUGUCAAGAAAAGCCUCUAGUUAGAU